GACGAACGCUGGCGGCGUGCUUAACACAUGCAAGUCGAACGAAGAGCGACGGAAGCUUGCUUCUAUCAAUCUUAGUGGCGAACGGGUGAGUAACGCGUAAUCAACCUGCCCUUCAGAGGGGGACAACAGUUGGAAACGACUGCUAAUACCGCAUACGAUCUAACCUCGGCAUCGAGGAUAGAUGAAAGGUGGCCUCUACAUGUAAGCUAUCACUGAAGGAGGGGAUUGCGUCUGAUUGGCUAGUUGGAGGGGUAACGGCCCACCAAGGCGAUGAUCAGUAGCCGGUCUGAGAGGAUGGACGGCCACAUUGGGACUGAGACACGGCCCAGACUCCUACGGGAGGCAGCAGUGGGGAAUCUUCCGCAAUGGACGAAAGUCUGACGGAGCAACGCCGCGUGAGUGAUGACGGCCUUCGGGUUGUAAAGCUCUGUUAAUCGGGACGAAAGGCCUUCUUGCGAAUAGUGAGAAGGAUUGACGGUACCGGAAGAGAAAGCCACGGCUAACUACGUG
rnacentral:rRNA from 1 species